GACGAACGCUGGCGGCGUGCUUAACACAUGCAAGUCGAACGGAAAGGCCCUGCUUUUGUGGGGUGCUCGAGUGGCGAACGGGUGAGUAACACGUGAGUAACCUGCCCUUGACUUUGGGAUAACUUCAGGAAACUGGGGCUAAUACCGGAUAGGAGCUCCUGCUGCAUGGUGGGGGUUGGAAAGUUUCGGCGGUUGGGGAUGGACUCGCGGCUUAUCAGCUUGUUGGUGGGGUAGUGGCUUACCAAGGCUUUGACGGGUAGCCGGCCUGAGAGGGUGACCGGCCACAUUGGGACUGAGAUACGGCCCAGACUCCUACGGGAGGCAGCAGUGGGGAAUAGUGCACAAUGGGCGGAAGCCUGAUGCAGCAACGCCGCGUGCGGGAUGAAGGCCUUCGGGUUGUAAACCGCUUUCGCCUGUGACGAAGCGUGAGUGACGGUAAUGGGUAAAGAAGCACCGGCUAACUACGUG
rnacentral:rRNA from 1 species